rnacentral:hammerhead_ribozyme from 1 species
AUCCAUCUGAGGAGUCCCAAAUGGGACGAAAUGAUCAUCCUGGAU